rnacentral:rRNA from 1 species
GACGAACGCUGGCGGCGUGCUUAACACAUGCAAGUCGAACGGAAAGGCCCUCCUUGCAGGGUACUCGAGUGGCGAACGGGUGAGUAACACGUGGGUGAUCUGCCCUGCACUUCGGGAUAAGCCUGGGAAACUGGGUCUAAUACCGGAUAGGAGCCAUUUUUAGUGUGAUGGUUGGAAAGUUUUUUCGGUGUAGGAUGAGCUCGCGGCCUAUCAGCUUGUUGGUGGGGUAAUGGCCUACCAAGGCGGCGACGGGUAGCCGGCCUGAGAGGGUGGACGGCCACAUUGGGACUGAGAUACGGCCCAGACUCCUACGGGAGGCAGCAGUGGGGAAUAUUGCACAAUGGGCGCAAGCCUGAUGCAGCGACGCCGCGUGGGGGAUGACGGCCUUCGGGUUGUAAACUCCUUUCGCUAGGGACGAAGCUUUUUGUGACGGUACCUAGAUAAGAAGCACCGGCUAACUACGUG